AUGAGAGGGUAUGCAUCUCUUUUGAAGGUUGCUCAAUUCCCUUGUAUGAGUGUCUCUUCACCAGGUUGGGAAUAUGUGUUCCCUUCUCUAACUUUGAGGUACAAGUCUUAUAAACCUUCAUUAGGGCUCUUCUUCGACCUUUUGUCUGUAGCUCAUACUUCGCCGGAUAGUGCUCAGGAUCAAGGAUUAAUCUACUUUCAUCCUCCAAUACCUUGGUUUAACUCUUUCGCUUCUGGCUGGGGGAUUCUCUAG